rnacentral:rRNA from 1 species
CGGAAGUACCUUGCUACUUUGCCGGCGAGCGGCGGACGGGUGAGUAAUGUCUGGGAAACUGCCUGAUGGAGGGGGAUAACUACUGGAAACGGUAGCUAAUACCGCAUAACGUCGCAAGACCAAAGAGGGGGACCUUCGGGCCUCUUGCCAUCAGAUGUGCCCAGAUGGGAUUAGCUAGUAGGUGGGGUAACGGCUCACCUAGGCGACGAUCCCUAUCUGGUCUGAGAGGAUGACCAGCCACACUGGAACUGAGACACGGUCCAGACUCCUACGGGAGGCAGCAGUGGGGAAUAUUGCACAAUGGGCGCAAGCCUGAUGCAGCCAUGCCGCGUGUAUGAAGAAGGCCUUCGGGUUGUAAAGUACUUUCAGCGGGGAGGAAGGCGUUGAGGUUAAUAACCUCAGCGAUUGACGUUACCCGCAGAAGAAGCACCGGCUAACUCCGUGCCAGCAGCCGCGGUAAUACGGAGGGUGCAAGCGUUAAUCGGAAUUACUGGGCGUAAAGCGCACGCAGGCGGUCUGUCAAGUCGGAUGUGAAAUCCCCGGGCUCAACCUGGGAACUGCAUUCGAAACUGGCAGGCUAGAGUCUUGUAGAGGGGGGUAGAAUUCCAGGUGUAGCGGUGAAAUGCGUAGAGAUCUGGAGGAAUACCGGUGGC